UGUGCUCUUUGGGAUCUGGCUCAUUUAAUGUUGCAAUCGGUAAUUCACGGCCAUCUCUUGAUCAAGCCACAGGACUGUGUGGAUGACACAGGUUAUCGAAGGAAGAUGUGUUAAGUAAGAGGGUUUUUAAGAAGCAGAGAAAAUGCAGAGCAAAUGGGCUUGAGCUUGGAUAUGGAAUUCUCUAAUGAUGAAGCUUUAGCGUUGGCUUCUAAAUUGUUCCCUUGUCUUUUGUAGCAGCACGUUCAUCAUGUUUGGAAGCCUGUUCCACUAGUGAUGGAGAGUAUGAUCUCAAUGAGUCCAUAUACCUGUGACCCAGCGGAGCGCUGACUGGCCUAGACUGGCUUCACCGGCAUAGCUCUGCGGACACUGGGCAAACUUGCAUCUUCAGGAUAUCCAAGCUGCUGCGAUUGUUAAUUCCCAUUAUCAGGCCCACUGGACUAAGGAAUGCUCGGCCUUAGGCACGCCUUUGAGUGUAUCUAUAAGAACACCAGACAGGAUUAACUGAAGAACAAAGGGCGUGCCCUGAGUGUGGGCACCACCAUCCCAGAGGGAGUGCAUCUUGGACUGAACAAAAAGGGAAAAAGAAGAAAGCCAACUGAGUGGUUUAUUCUCCCUCUGGUUCCCCAACCUGUGGCGAUGUCCAGCCACAUACUCUCUACUGACUUGGCCACGGUGGACUGUGCCUUCAAACCACACCACAAAAUAAACCCUUUCUACCAGAAA